GCUUCUUAAUGGGGGGCAGUCCAAUCACCAUCUUCUUUUGCUCUAAUAGUUAUAAACCUCUAAAAUUCAAGUGGCCAUAUCCCAAAUGCUAAAGAUCAGAUCCAUCAAAGUUUUCACAUUUAAGAACAACAGUCUAAAGUGUCUUCAUAUUGAGAGCAAAAAGAUUGUUAGAGGUCAUCUAAAUUGCUGCCACUUUGCUGUCAUCUUUCUUGUCAAAAAAUCUCACAAUGCCCAUCAUCAAAGAUCAAUUUAUAGCCUUUUUUCAUUACC
rnacentral:lncRNA from 1 species